GAUGAACGCUAGCGACAGGCUUAACACAUGCAAGUCGAGGGGCAGCGGGGAUGUAGCAAUACAUCUGCCGGCGACCGGCGCACGGGUGAGUAACGCGUAUGCAACCUGCCCUUCACUGGGGGAUAACCGGGAGAAAUUCCGACUAAUACCGCAUAUGAUGCCUGAACGAAUGUUCGGGUUUUGAAAGAUUUAUCGGUGAAGGAUGGGCAUGCGUGAUAUUAGGUAGUUGGCGGGGUAACGGCCCACCAAGCCGACGAUAUCUAGGGGUUCUGAGAGGAAGGUCCCCCGCACUGGUACUGAGACACGGACCAGACUCCUACGGGAGGCAGCAGUGAGGAAUAUUGGUCAAUGGACGGGAGUCUGAACCAGCCAAGUCGCGUGAAGGAAGACGGCCCUACGGGUUGUAAACUUCUUUUGUAAGGGAUAAAGUGUAGUACGUGUACUAUUUUGCAUGUACCUUACGAAUAAGGAUCGGCUAACUCCGUGCCAGCAGCCGCGGUAAGGAGUAGUACA
rnacentral:rRNA from 1 species